rnacentral:rRNA from 1 species
GAUGAACGCUGGCGGCGUGCCUAAUACAUGCAAGUCGAGCGAACGGACGCGGAGCUUGCUUCUCUGAUGUUAGCGGCGGACGGGUGAGUAACACGUGGAUAACCUACCUAUAAGACUGGGAUAACUUCGGGAAACCGGAUCUAAUACCGGAGAAUAUUUUGAACCGCAUGGUUCAAAAGUGAAAGACGGUCUUGCUGGCACGUAUAGAUGGAUACGCGCUGCAUUAGCUAGUUGGUAAGGUAACGGCUUACUACGGCAAUGAUGCAUAGCCGAACGGAUAGGGUGAUAGGCCACCCUGGAACGUAGACACGGUCAAGGGUACUACGGGAGGCAGCAGUAGGGAAUCUUACGCAGUGGGCGAAAGCCUGACGGAACAGCGCGGCGUGAGUUAUGAAGGUCUUCGGAUCGUAAAACCCUGUUACUAGUGAAAAACAGAUGUGUAAGUAAAUGAGCACAUAUUGACGGUAACUAAUCAGAAAGCAACGGCUAACUACGUG